UACGGGGGGGGUAAGCGUUGUUCGGAAUUACUGGGCGUAAAGGGCUCGUAGGCGGCCAACUAAGUCGGACGUGAAAUCCCUCAGCUUAACUGGGGAACUGCGUCCGAUACUGGAUGGCUUGGAUUUUGGGAGAGGGAUGCGGAAUUCCAGGUGUAGCGGUGAAAUGCGCAGAUAUCAGGAAGAACACCAAUGGCGAAGGCAGCUCUCUGGGACGGUACUGACGACUGAGACGCGAAAGCGUGGGGAGCGAACAAGG
rnacentral:rRNA from 1 species